UACGUAGGGUGCGAGCGUUAAUCGGAAUUACUGGGCGUAAAGCGUGCGCAGGCGGUCUCUGAAGUCCGUUGUGAAAGCCCCGGGCUUAACCUGGGAAUGGCAGUGGAAACUAGGAGACUUGAAUCUGGCAGAGGGGGGUGGAAUGCCACGUGUAGCAGUGAAAUGCGUAGAGAUGUGGCGGAACACCGAUGGCGAAGGCAGCCCCCUGGGUCAAGAUUGACGCUCAGGCACGAAAGCGUGGGGAGCAAACAGG
rnacentral:rRNA from 1 species